UACGUAGGGACCGAGCGUUGUCCGGAUUCAUUGGGCGUAAAGAGCUCGUAGGCGGCUGUUCAAGUCGAACGUGAAAACUCGGAGCUCAACUCCGAGCCUGCGUUCGAUACUGGACGGCUAGAGUCUGGUAGGGGGAUCUGGAAUUCUCGGUGUAGCGGUGAAAUGCGUAGAUAUCGAGAGGAACACCUGCGGCGAAGGCGGGUUGCUGGGCUGACACUGACGCUGAUGCGCGAAAGCCAGGGGAGCGAACGGG
rnacentral:rRNA from 1 species